rnacentral:tRNA from 2 species
GGAUUAGUAGUCAAGCGGUAAGACAUGACCCUUUCAAGGUCACCAUCGCAGGUUCGAAUCCUGUCUAGUCUA